rnacentral:rRNA from 1 species
AUUGAACGCUGGCGGCAUGCUUUACACAUGCAAGUCGAACGGCAGCGCGGGCUUCGGCCUGGCGGCGAGUGGCGAACGGGUGAGUAAUGCAUCGGAACGUGCCCAGUAGUGGGGGAUAGCCCGGCGAAAGCCGGAUUAAUACCGCAUACGACCUGAGGGUGAAAGCGGGGGACCGAAAGGCCUCGCGCUAUUGGAGCGGCCGAUGUCGGAUUAGCUAGUUGGUGGGGUAAAGGCUUACCAAGGCGACGAUCCGUAGCUGGUCUGAGAGGACGACCAGCCACACUGGGACUGAGACACGGCCCAGACUCCUACGGGAGGCAGCAGUGGGGAAUUUUGGACAAUGGGGGCAACCCUGAUCCAGCCAUGCCGCGUGCGGGAAGAAGGCCUUCGGGUUAUAAACCGCUUUUGUUCGGGAAGAAAUCCUCUGGGCUAAUACCCCGGGGGGAUGACGGUACCGGAAGAAUAAGCACCGGCUAACUACGUG